rnacentral:rRNA from 1 species
UUACUGACGCUAAAGCUCGAAGGUGCGGGUAUCGAACAGGAUUAGAUACCCUGGUAGUCCGCACGGUAAACGAUGGAUGCCCGCUGUUUGCGAUAUACUGUGAGCGGCCAAGAGAAAUCGUUAAGCAUCCCACCUGGGGAGUACGCCGGCAACGGUGAAACUCAAAGGAAUUGACGGGGGCCCGCACAAGCGGAGGAACAUGUGGUUUAAUUCGAUGAUACGCGAGGAACCUUACCCGGGCUUGAACUGCAGCGGAAGGAUACAGAGAUGUUGACGUCCUUCGGGACCGCUGUGGAGGUGCUGCAUGGUUGUCGUCAGCUCGUGCCGUGAGGUGUCGGCUUAAGUGCCAUAACGAGCGCAACCCCUUUCAUUAGUUGCCAUCACUUCGGGUGGGCACUCUGGUGAUACUGCCACCGUAAGGUGUGAGGAAGGUGGGGAUGACGUCAAAUCAGCACGGCCCUUACGUCCGGGGCUACACACGUGUUACAAUGGGUGGUACAGAGAGUCAGCGGCCGGCAACGUCCGCUCAAUCAUGAAAGCCAUCCUCAGUUCGGAUUGGGGUCUGCAACCCGACCCCAUGAAGCUGGAUUCGCUAGUAAU